UACGUAUGGUGCAAGCGUUAUCCGGAUUUACUGGGUGUAAAGGGAGCGCAGGCGGUGCGGCAAGUCUGAUGUGAAAGCCCGGAGCUCAACCCCGGUACUGCAUUGGAAACUGUCGUACUAGAGUGUCGGAGGGGUAAGCGGAAUUCCUAGUGUAGCGGUGAAAUGCGUAGAUAUUAGGAGGAACACCAGUGGCGAAGGCGGCUUACUGGACGAUAACUGACGCUGAGGCUCGAAAGCGUGGGGAGCAAACAGG
rnacentral:rRNA from 1 species